CAUGAACUAGAGAAAUUUUAGGAAAGAUAUGGUGCCUACAUUCUCUGCUUGGGCACUGGCUGGCAGGAAGAGGAUACAGAUAACUGGAGAACUUCAGGAAUAAUGAUCCAGCCUCAGACUGUUGUGCUUACACGAACCAAAACAGAAGAAAGAAAAAAAAAAAGAAGAUAGAAAUAUCCAUCUAUGUGGUCACCUCGAUAACUUCAAGAAACACACUUUCCAGUUUGGUUUUCAAGAAGCACCAUAGUACUUUUCCCUUAUUAAAGAACUUAAAUGAU